rnacentral:rRNA from 1 species
CCUACGGGUGGCAGCAGUGAGGAAUAUUGGUCAAUGGACGAGAGUCUGAACCAGCCACGCCGCGUGAAGGAUGACUGUCCUAUGGGUUGUAAACUUCUUUUAUAUGGGAGUAAAUCGUUCCACGUGUCGGCUUAUGUCUGUACCAUAUGAAUAAGGAUCGGCUAACUCCGUGCCAGCAGCCGCGGUAAUACGGAGGAUCCGAGCGUUAUCCGGAUUUAUUGGGUUUAAAGGGAGCGUAGGUGGAGUGUUAAGUCAGUUGUGAAAGUUGGCGGCUCAACCGUAAAAUUGCAGUUGAAACUGGCAGUCUUGAGUACAGGAGAGGUGGGCGGAAUUCGUGGUGUAGCGGUGAAAUGCUUAGAUAUCACGAAGAACUCCGAUUGCGAAGGCAGCUCACUGGACUGCAACUGACGCUGAGGCUCGAAAGUGUGGGUAGCAAACAGGAUUAGAUACCCUAGUAGUC